rnacentral:rRNA from 1 species
GUGGGGAAUCUUCCACAAUGGACGAAAGUCUGAUGGAGCAACGCCGCGUGAGUGAAGAAGGGUUUCGGCUCGUAAAGCUCUGUUGUCGGGGACGAAUGUGCAGUAUUUGAAUAAAGUACUGCAAUGACGGUACCUGACGAGGAAGCCACGGCUAACUACGUGCCAGCAGCCGCGGUAAUACGUAGGUGGCAAGCGUUGUCCGGAAUUAUUGGGCGUAAAGGGAGCGCAGGCGGGAAGGUAAGUCGGUCUUAAAAGUGCGGGGCUCAACCCCGUGAUGGGAUCGAAACUAUCUUUCUUGAGUGCAGGAGAGGAAAGUGGAAUUCCUAGUGUAGCGGUGAAAUGCGUAGAUAUUAGGAGGAACACCAGUGGCGAAGGCGACUUUCUGGACUGUAACUGACGCUGAGGCUCGAAAGCCAGGGGAGCAAACGGGAUUAGAAACCCGAGUAGUCC